CCGUGAUGUUUAGCUACAGUUAGCGGCAUGUCUCCGCUACGGCAACGUCACAUCACAUCGGAAAUACUCAAACGCCUAUUGAAUGGACAGCCAUUACAUUUUGAAUUCUUCAUUUUCUCUACACAGCAGGUGCAGCGACAAAGCAACCGAAGUGGAGGAGGAAGAACAAGCGCUGCUGCUCUGUGGCCGCAGCUCACCGUGCCACAAAUGCACCACCACGAUUCACGUUCAUCGCGCACAGCUUGACUGCAUGGCGAGGCCUGCACAAACUGCGCGGUGGCCGCGAUCUUAAGAGGUUCACUGCGCGCGAGACGGGUUCAAUAUGAAUUUGGAGGCGUGCCGAAAUCAUGUUUGCAGGCAGAGACUCGUCAUCUUCUCAUGAAAUCCUUCAUCCAUUGCUUUUUACAUGAAUUCACAAUAUGAUGCUAACGCCAUGUUGCAGAAGCCACGUUGGCCAGUACAUUCUGCAACAUUUUGUUUUGUUUCAGCAGAAUUCAAUCUUCUUUGCCGGAGUAACUAAGCAGCAACGCGUCCACCAAGUUGGCAACCAAAGAUUUAAGCGUUUUGAUGCAGUUUAAUCAUUGGUAGGAGCCGAGGUUGAAAACAACAUUUUCUUUUCUUUUAAUGCGUAAGUGUUUUCAACCCAAACGGCCGGCUAAUAAGGCCGCAUCGCUCUUGGGUUCAAGGUUCGGUGGAAGGUAAGAUCUGGUUGGUAAAUCUGAAGUAACUUCACAAACAGAAAAAGUGUGAAAAUGGGCACAGACAAACUUGGCGACCAAGGGGAAUGAUGCAAAUCCAAACAGACAAACAGACAUAGCAGCUGGUAAGUAGACACUCAGACAGACAGGUUCACAUUAGGGAUAAACGAGCGGG
ensembl:lncRNA